GAUGAAGAACGCAGCGAAAUGCGAUAAGUAGUGUGAAUUGCAGAAUUCAGUGAAUCAUCGAAUCUUUGAACGCACAUUGCGCCCUUUGGUAUUCCUUAGGGCAUGCCUGUUCGAGCGUCAUUUGAACCCUCAAGCUCAGCUUGGUGUUGGGUGUCUGUCCCCGCCUCCGCGGGGACUCGCCUCAAAAUCAUUGGCGGCCGGUACGUUGGCUUCGAGCGCAGCAGAAACGCGAACUCGAGGCCCGGCGGAUCGGCGACCAGAAGUCUCUUCUUCACAGUUUGACCUCGGAUCAGGUAGGGAUACCCGCUGAACUUAAGCAUAUCAAUAAGCGGAGGA
rnacentral:misc_RNA from 1 species